GGACGGACGGACGAACGAACGGACGCACAGACCAGAAAACAUAAUGCCCCUCUACUAUCGUAGAUGGGGCAUAAAAAUAAUCUUAUCAUCUUUCAAGCCAAUUUAGUUUCUGACCAAAUUAAAGUUACCAAUAUAAUCCAUCCUUUAUCAUACAAGUUUGUUACUUCUCCUUCAAAACAUAAUUAGAAAUUGUAUUUAAUAGACAAUAAACAACUUUGGGUUAGACUAAAACUGUAUUUAAUCAUGAUGUAAUAUAAAAUUGAAUUGAAUCAAUGCAUUUGUUGUUGUGAACUCUCCCCUUUUUACACAAUCUUAGUACCAUCUAAUACUGGUUAACUGGUUAUUCAAAUCUCUCUAGUAGUACCUUUUUUCUCUUUCAAUUCUCCAAUAGUAACUAUUCGUAAAUGGUGCAUACUAUGUUACAAUGAAGAUUCUCUUCACAUAAAAUCUUACAACAAAUUGAUUUGCAAGUUUUUAAUUGUUUGUUAACUUACAAAAAAAAAUUCUUAAUACAAAUGUUUUCAUGAAAUAGAAUGUAAAUAUAUAAGCAAUAACCAUUCAGGAGUGUUAAACAAGGUUAAAUCAUAAAUUAAAAAUUUACUUACAAGGGAGACAACUUAAUAAUCCUUGGAUAACAAAGGGACAUAACAAAAUAAAAACAGUUAAAACAGUUCAUAACAAAUCUAUAUGUUUACCAGAAAUUAACAUAUUGUUUACAUAAAAUUAUACACUUUUGAACAAUAAGUGCAGGCGUACAAUAUUUACAGCAGGUUUUGUUCAGAUGUCUACACAAUCAUACUCCAGUUUUAUACUGAAAAUUCAGAAAUUAUUGCCAUGUUUUUAUUAUUGCGAAAAAUGCAACAAGGUAACUGGUUAUACCUAUAAUGGUGUACUUUUUAAAUUGUUAUUUGUAUGGAGAGUUGUCUCAUUGGCACUCACACCACAUCUUCCUAUAUCUAUAUAAUCAAAAUAAUCUAAACACACAUUUUUUUUCUUUUAUAUGAAAUAAACAGGAUUUUUGUCAAUAUUGCAAAAACUAAAAUCGCAUUUUAGUGUAAAAUGACAAAAUCUCAAUAAUAAAUUCAUGCAAUAGUUUCUGAAUUUACAGUGAUAGAAGGAUUCUACACCUUAAAUAAAAUAAAGAACUCUUAAUUCAGAAAUUAUUGCGAUUUUUAACAAAUAGACAAACAUGCAAGAUUACAGCAUGCUGAUAUGUGAGGUCUUAAUACUGCGAUAUUAACUAGUAGCAUUUUUCGUGUUAAUAAAAAACUAGCAAUUAUUUCUCAUUUACUAUAACCAAAUAUCAAGAGUUCAAAUAUUGUUUUCUCCAUGAGCAUUUCUUUUAAUUUAUUUCAAUUUUGUUAUCCAGGAUAAAUAAUGCCAACUGUAAAGAUGAGUGAUAUGUUGCCUUCUUUUCUGUUUUUAUUUUAAAGAUACUGGAACUGGUUUGAAAUUUAAAUAAAAUAAAAUAAAUAUUUCAUUAACUGUGUAACAAAAGUGUCCAAAAUAUUAGGUGACCCUGCUACAUGUAUAUACAAAUGCAACAAAAAGUAUGUGUUGAAAUUAAACUUUUCAAAUAAGAAUCUGAAGUGUACAAUGUUUUAAAAAAUAAAUCAUAAACACUUUCAAUUUAUGGCCAUUGGUUGGUAGAUUAAGAUAUACAACCAAAAACUUAUUUAUUAUUAUUACAUUAUAACAAAAGGUUGAAGAACAAGUUUUCUGACAAUUAUUUGUAACAUCACUAUAGGCAAAAUUACAUUUUAUAACUAGUAUACUGGUAUACAGAAAAAAAAAAUUGUUAAUUUGUAAUUUCUUAAUUUCUAAUAAUUUAAAAUCUCCACCAAGUUCAUCUAAGAAAUUUCAAAUACAAAAAAAACUAAUUACCCUUAAUUUCAUUAUGCAAAAUAAGCACUACUAGUAAACCAAUGAGACAUUUAUCAUUCAUAAAUUCAUAUAGAAUUGAAAUGAAUAUAUUUUUAUAUUGAACUCUCCCUCCCUUUCAAAACAAUGCAUUCUUAUACUUUGUAGUCAAACAACCUUAGCAUAAUUACCAUUCAUUAAAUUGCAUGAAUCAAAAGCAGAAAUUAUAUCUAGAUCGGUGCAAAAUGAUAUAAAUAUUUCUUGACAAAAUGAUUAGAAUAUAGGGAUUCUUAAAACAUUUUAAGUACAAUUUAAAAAGUCAAUCCUGAGGCACUUAUUUGAAUUUUGGUGCACAUGGUCCCAACUGAAUUUUAUUUGCUACAUAUGUCCAGUGCAGUACACCCAAAACAGAUUAAACAUGGAUUAUUUUUACACUGAAUGACAGUGAUAGUUGAUACUUUAAAGAUGUUUAAUGAAGGGAUUGAAUAGAAGAAUAAGCCAAUUUUGCAGUUCAUACAACACAAGAAAAUGUUUGAUUGAACUAUAUUGUGCAUUUGAGAAAGAUACCAAAUAGUAUAUUCAAUUUCAGAUUUGCUCCUUUUUUUAUUGAAUCAUAUGUACUGUUUAGAACGGUUCCAGAAAGAUUUAAGGUUUACUACAUAAGCAAACUUCAAUUCCUAAUUUUGCACUUUUUUGUCUAAAAUAACAUGUCUUCCCGAAAAUUACCUUCCUAAAAGAGAGACAACUCUUACUAUAACAUUAAAUAGAAGACAACCUGUAGUAAAAACUUAAAUGAUUAAAAUUGAAUGAUAACAAAAACAAAAUUUCUGUUGAUGAAGUUGAAGAUUACAAAUAAGUCUUCUAUUGAUGCUAAUAAUUAAAUGCAAAAUAGUUUCACAUAUUUUGUCACUAGAAAUCUCCCGGGACAUAUACAUAAUAACACUCUCAUAAAUUAAAACCUCUUUGAAUGAAAAGAAAUGAGAAAAUGUCACAUGUCUGUCACAUGACUGUCACAUGACAGUUACUCAUUUCAAUUGCUCCACAUAAGAACAAAUUAAUUAUGAUGAUUCGUAUGCUAAAACAUGUAUUUUACUUUUAAAACAAAAGUAGAUGUUCAUGUACAAUUUUCAUGUACAAUUGUACAAUUAUUUCUGUGACAGUUAGCUAUAACAGAAUAGGCAAUAUAAUAUACUAGUAGCUGCAUUGUAGAGUACUAUUUACAAAUGGUAAACAUUUACCAUCAAUCUAAAUAAUCAUAGAAGCAAGAGAACACAGUCAAACCUGUCUUAACUAAACCAUGUGUAAAAUAAAGUCUCUUAUCACAUGUAAUUAUCUUUUUAUCAUAUACUUCAGGAGAAGAAAUACAGACAA
rnacentral:lncRNA from 1 species